rnacentral:rRNA from 1 species
CAUAGCGACUAUCGUGGCAUAUCAAUAAGCGGAGGAAAAGAAACUAACAAGGAUUCCCCUAGUAACGGCGAGUGAAGCGGGAAGAGCUCAAAUUUGAAAUCUUCAAGGUUUGACCUUGACGAAUUGUAGUUUAAAGAAGUGUUUUCGGUUAGAGGAGUAGUAAAAGUUCUUUGGAAUAGGACAUCAUAGAGGGUGAGAAUCCCGUAUUUGACUAUUCUUUCUAGCUUUGUGAUACACUUUCAAAGAGUCGGAUUGUUUGGGAAUGCAGUCCAAAAUGGGUGGUAAAUUUCAUCUAAAGCUAAAUAUUGGCGAGAGACCGAUAGCGAACAAGUACCGUGAGGGAAAGAUGAAAAGAACUUUGAAAAGAGAGUUAAACAGUACGUGAAAUUGUCAAAAGGGAAGCGUUUGACACCAGUGUUGUUUUUCCGAAAAUCAAUUAAAAAUUGAUUCAUGCCAGGUUGUAUUGACCUUAUCAGCUUGCAAUUUGGUUUUGGGUCUCUUUUUGAUGCACUUUUCGGUUAACAAGUCAACAUCAAUUUCCUUUGCUGUAAAAAGGUAAGAGGAAGGUGACUUCAAUUUCGGUUGAAGUGUUUAUAGCCUUUUAUCUCUGCAGUCGGGGAGAUUGAGGUCUGCAGCGUAGAUCCUUCGGGGCUAGAUACAUUUAUGCUAAGUUAUAGCUUUUCAUAGACAACUUGUUGACUAUGAUUCAGUCAUGUAGCUUACUCGCUUAAGUGUCAUUUUACCUACGCUUAGGAUGUUGAUAGUCACAGCGUGUAC